GUUUAUUCGAUGAGUGGAUUAUCACAUCUCUCUCAAUCUCUGAAUCUUGCUAAAGUGGGAGGAAGAUUUUAUUCUCUAUCCAUAUGCUGGAUUAGAGAAUGAAUUUGCUACUUAUUCUACUUUGCAUUUAAUUUGCUACUUUUAUAUGUUGGAUAGUAUUUAGGAAUUAUUGCUUCUUGUAUUCAACUGAUGCAAGGAUAAUGCUCAAUUUUGUAGUGUGUUAAUUUGAUUGAUGAUGUAUGUUUGCUUCUUCUAUUCACUUUUCUUAUCUCUGGAAAUCUCCCCAUAACCAUGGUGAAAACCGAUUACAAAUGGUGGCAAAGAACAAAGCAAGGAAAAGUUGAUCUUUAUGAUAACAUAUGUUGAAAAAGAAGAUGGUUCAAGCUUGAAGAUGUGAUGUGUGUGUUGAUGGACCGCCUGAAAGGCAGAAUUUGAAAGAUGAGGCAAAUAUUUUACAACAAACUAUAGUUGUCGAAUAUGUAAGUUGAAUACUUUCGAUUUUAUACUGAGUAAACUUAUUAAUUUUGUUAUACAUGUGAAUUUAUAUUAACACAUUGACUGUGGAUUGUGACACCAUAUUUUAGAUAUGUACCUCAUUGUCCUCCAAGAGAGAGCUCAAGUCUUAAGAUAUGUACCUCUGAUUGAUUUACAGGAUUUGGUUGUUGUAAUAUUCUUUAUUUCAAAAAAUUAUUUAAUAUUGUUAUUUAUAAUUUUGUCCUUGGGAAAUAAAAAAAAAUCUGGUCCUAUCUUGUAGGGAAUAUUGAUUACUUGAAAUCACAUACUAGGUGGCGUAUGAAAAACUCGAAGAAUAUGGAGAGAAAAGUUGAGGUGUACAGAGCAUUUGCUUAAAGCCAACAUGAUUCGUUUCAGGGUAAGUUUUUAGAGCAACAAGUAGAGUUGGAAGAUAAAUAUCAGAAACUUUAUGAACCACUUUACACAAUGGCAAAUGAUGAUGCAAGUAUGACUGAUACACCUUUGGGUGCACGAGGAUCAUUUAGAGUUAACAACAUUUAUGAUAUUUGCUAUGUAUUUUGUUGUUAAAGUGCCGUAUGAGAUUACUUUUAGUUUUUUG